rnacentral:tRNA from 1 species
AUUCUGUUUUCUGUAUUUUGAAAGUACUACAUAGAAUUAUUAUUCUACAGAAUU